CGACCUCGGAUCAGGCGAGACUACCCGCUAGAUUUAAGCAUAUCAGCAAGCGGAGGAAAAGAAACUAACUAGGAUUCCCUCAGUAGCGGCGAGCGAACAGGGAGGAGCCCAGCACCGAACCCCGUCGGCGGGAGCCGUCGACCGGGGAAUGUGGUGUUCGGGAGGAUCCGAUCAUCCCGCUCGCGGUUCUCCGAGCGUCGGCCUUCGGGUCGGCGCCCGGGGCCCGUGCACGGUCCAAAUGCAGCGAGUGGGCCUAAAAAACCCCGUCCUGGAACGGCUUCCCCCGUUAUCGGAUUCCGUAGAGGGUGAAAGACCCGUGGAGGCCGGCACGGAGCGGCGGGAGGAUCUCUCCUAAGAGUCGGGUCGCUUGGUAGUGCAGCCCUAAGAGGUGGUAAACUCCAUCUAAGGCUAAACAUCGCCGCGAGACCGAUAGAGGACAAGUACCGUUCGGGAAAGUUGAAAAGGACUCUGCAGAGAGAGUUAAAGAGUACGUGAAACCGUUCGGGGGUUCGGCACAGAACAAACGGUCGGGGCUCGGGCGAGACCCUCCGGGCAGGAGGAUCCGUCAGCCGUCCCGAGGCCCGCGGGCCGUCUGCGCGCUUGCUUGCGUUACAGCUUGCGAGGGGUUGCCCUGGGCCUAACCAUGAGCGUUGACGAUGCGGCCCGCGGAGCGCGGGGCGGCGGCCAUGAACGGAGCCCUCGCGGCCACCUCGAUCCCCGCCCGCGGAGGCACCCGCGACUCGCGGUGCGGCGGUCCGCCCGUGGAGGCCCCCCUCGGGGGUCACCUCCGCGGGAGCCGGUCUUCGCCAGGCACCGCGGUCGAGAAUCGGCCGGGCGGCGCCUUCGGGCGCUCGUGCCCGGUCGGCGGGAGAUCUACCGGGACCCCUACCGACCCGUCUUGAAACACGGACCAAGGAGUCUAGCGUGCGCGCGAGUCAUCGGGAACACGUACUAAACCCCGAGGCGCAAUGAAAGUGAGCGCUCAGCGCAAGGGACGAAACAACGGGGCCGGGGGAAACGGGGGCAACUCCGCGCGUACCCCGGCGGUGUCCGUCCUAGCUGCGGCCCGUUGCAGCAAUCCCGGGGCGCCGAGCAGAUACCCGCCACCCAGGGCGGCGAGCGAGGCGCUCUCGAAGCGUGCACGGUAGGACCCGAAAGAUGGUGAACUAUGCCCGGCCAGGACGAAACCAGGGGAAACCCUGGCGGAGGUCCGCAGCGGUUCUGACGUGCAAAUCGAUCGUCCGAGCUGGGUAUAGGGGCGAAAGACCAAUCGAACCAUCUAGUAGCUGGUUCCCUCCGAAAUUUCCCUCAGGAUAGCUGGCGCUCGAUCAGCGCGGACCGUACGACGAGUUCCGCGCCGGCUCGCAAUCCCAUCCCCGGUAGAGCGAAUGAUUAGAGGCUUCUCGGGGCCGCAACGGUCUCGACCUAUUCUCAAACUCCGAACGGGUGAGACCGGGGGCUUUCCCGGCGGACGAAGCCCGGCGGCCGUCCCCUCGGGGUCGGCCGCGCGACACCGACGGAUGAGAGCUGAGCCCAGUGGGUCCGUUCUGGUAAGCAGGACUGACGAUGCGGGGUGAACCGAACGCCGGGUUAAGGCGCCUAAAUCGCUACCGAAAUUACAGACACCCGUUCAAUGGUCGGACGCCGGCGUGCGACAGCAGGACGGUGGCCAUGGAAGUUGGCAUCCGCUAAGGAGUGUGUAACGACUCACCUGCCGAUGCCGGUGGUUCCGAAAAUGUCUGGCGCUAGGAGUAGCGUGCCGAUACCCGGCCGUCAGCGGUAGAGCACGGGCGACGUCGCCGCGCGAGCCGCUCCCCGGCGCCCGGUCAAACGGGCCGAGGAGCGCGCCAGCGGCGGGAACGCGCCUCGGGUAGACCCUGACGAGUAGGAGGGCGCGGCGGUGAGCGCAGAAGGGUUCAGGGCGCGAGCCCGCCCGGAGCCGCCGUCGGCGCAGAUCUUGGUGGUAGUAGCAAAUACUCUGGAGAGGUCCUGGAGGACUGACGCGGAGAAGGGUUUCUUGUCAACAGCCGUUGCACAAGUGUUAGUCGAUCCUAAGCCACGGGCGAAGGCCCUACAACGCGGACCCCACGAUGAUCCCCGCUUCGCGGAGGAGAGGCGGUCGCGACCCGGGGCUCGGCCCCUCGGCGCCGCUCGGGAGCCCUCCGGGGUUCCCGAGGCGCGGGGGCAAGCAUCGGGCGAGGCCCGUCGGCGGUCCCCCGGCCCUUCGCCGAGGUCGCCUCCGACUCAGACGCUCCCCGCCCGCGCCCCUUCGGCGCGGCUCCGACCCGCCUCGCGCGGAGCCCGUACUCCAAACCCGGCGCCGCAACUACCCGAGCGGCCGUUUUCACCCGUAACAUGUGCGGCUCCCUCGGAGCUCGCACGGGGCGGCCCCGGAGCGGACGCGCUAGCUCUCUCGAGCGAGCACUUAGCCGGGGCGGACUCCGCCGACCGGGACCCGGACCGCGCUGGGCGCGGGGACUCAACGGGAGAGCGUGGAGGCGGUCACCGGCGUCGGAUCGGGGCUCCGUACUUGCCAAACGGCGGUUUAGCCUCGCGCGCCCCGCGCUCCUCGGCGCUCAGACCAGAGCCCCGCAGCGCGCGCACCGAGCGGCUCGCCGUUCGCGCGACUCGGCCGAGGGGUUGCCGGGACGCGCCCGCCCUCCGUCGCCAGGGGAUCGUAAAGAUCGUACACGGUCCGGCACGGCGAAAGGGAACCCGGUCAAGAUUCCGGGACCCGGCGAGUAGGAAACGUUCACCUGCCAGGUCCGUACGACUCGUCGGAGCGAUUCGACAACCAGCCCGGAGAAGCCGGCGGAGGACCCGUGGAGAGUUGUCUUUUCUGUUGAAGCGACCGAGCAUCCCUGGAACGCGUAUGGCGCGGAGAUAGGGGCGGUGGUCGCGAGGAGCACCGGUCGUCGGCGGUGUACGGGUCUCCUCCCUCGGACCGUGAAAAUCCCGGCUGAGGCUCCUGGUUCGGUGGUUUCCGAAGCCGGUUCGUACCGAGUAUCCGCAGCAGGUCUCCUAGGUGAACAGCCUCUGGUCACGUGGAACAAUGUAGGUAAGGGAACUCGGCAAACUCGAUCCGUAACUUCGGGACAAGGAUUGGCUCUGAGGAUCGAGGCCGGUCUGGCCGGGCGGCCGCAGCGCCUUCCGUGCGGGCGGGCAACCGUUCGCGGGGACCGUCCGCCGGGGCCGCGGCCGCGUCACUCCUGACGCCGGCCGGACGCGCCGUCAGGCGGGCAAUCGCCGGGGCCCUCGGGUCCCGGAGACCCCGCCGGCGUUAUCCGCGGCAGAAGGGGCCGGCCAACCCCGGGAGGUCCGCGGGGCGGCGCUCGCCCGGCGCUCUCGGGCGUCGGGCCGCGGCGCUGCCCCGUCUCCCAAACGCUCUGCGCUCGCUUGCCCUCGCGGGCGGCGGCCGGGCAAAUUAACGACCGCGCCAACAAACCCUGGUCGUGCUCAGAACUGUUCUCGGACCCGGGGAAUCCGACUGUUUAAUUAAAACAGAGCAUCGUGAAGGCCGCACAUUACCGGCGUAGACGCGAUGUGAUUUCUGCCCAGUGCUCUGAAUGUCAACGUGAAGAGAUUCAAGCAAGCGCGGGUAAACGGCAGGAGUAACUAUGACUCUUUUAAGGUAGCCAAAUGCCUCGUCAUCCAAUUAGUGACGCGCAUGAAUGGAUCAACGAGAUUCCCUCUGUCCCUAUCUACUAGUGUUGAGCGAGCUCUCGUGGAGUAAGGACGUGUACUCGGCAACGCUCCGUGUUGCAGCGCGAUAACUUCGGCAGUUUUAGUGGAAUCAAAUCGUGCGAUACGUCAAUCGACGCGUCUCGUCGCCGCGGUUAUUUUGAUAUAUCGGUCGUCAAAAUCGGACUAAAAGUGUAAAAGUUAUGGGACCUCAAAGUUCGGUUUUUGGCCCAUUUAAUUAACAUAGAGUGUGAAAACGUGCGAAAACCUCGUGGCAGGUGUCGUAUUU
rfam:Gossypium arboreum cultivar AKA8401 contig_66734_1, whole genome shotgun sequence.